GGUUAAGCGACUAAGCGUACACGGUGGAUGCCCUGGCAGUCAGAGGCGAUGAAGGGCGUGCUAAUCUGCGAUAAGCGCCGGUAAGGUGAUAUGAACCGUUAUAACCGGCGAUACCCGAAUGGGGAAACCCAGUGUGACUCGUCACACUAUCAUUAACUGAAUCCAUAGGUUAAUGAGGCGAACCGGGGGAACUGAAACAUCUAAGUACCCCGAGGAAAAGAAAUCAACCGAGAUUCCCCCAGUAGCGGCGAGCGAACGGGGAGGAGCCCAGAGCCUGAAUCAGCAUGUGUGUUAGUGGAAGCGUCUGGAAAGGCGCGCGAUACAGGGUGACAGCCCCGUACACAAAAGCGCAUGUGCUGUGAGCUCGAUGAGUAGGGCGGGACACGUGGUAUCCUGUCUGAAUAUGGGGGGACCAUCCUCCAAGGCUAAAUACUCCUGACUGACCGAUAGUGAACCAGUACCGUGAGGGAAAGGCGAAAAGAACCCCGGCGAGGGGAGUGAAAAAGAACCUGAAACCGUGUACGUACAAGCAGUGGGAGCCCCACCACCAAAGCAUUCUCUGGUGUUGAAGGCCCUGCAAAGCAGCAUCGCGGUGGCGGAGCGUCGUUUGCGACGCCCAACACACAAAACAAACGGUGAGUGCUUUGGGGUGGGGUGACUGCGUACCUUUUGUAUAAUGGGUCAGCGACUUAUAUUCUGUAGCAAGGUUAACCGUAUAGGGGAGCCGGAGGGAAACCGAGUCUUAACCGGGCGUUAAGUUGCAGGGUAUAGACCCGAAACCCGGUGAUCUAGCCAUGGGCAGGUUGAAGGUUGGGUAACACUAACUGGAGGACCGAACCGACUAAUGUUGAAAAAUUAGCGGAUGACCUGUGGCUGGGGGUGAAAGGCCAAUCAAACCGGGAGAUAGCUGGUUCUCCCCGAAAGCUAUUUAGGUAGCGCCUCGUGAAUUCAUCUCCGGGGGUAGAGCACUGUUUCGGCUAGGGGGCCAUCCCGGCUUACCAACCCGAUGCAAACUGCGAAUACCGGAGAAUGUUAUCACGGGAGACACACGGCGGGUGCUAACGUCCGUCGUGAAGAGGGAAACAACCCAGACCGCCAGCUAAGGUCCCAAAGUCAUGGUUAAGUGGGAAACGAUGUGGGAAGGCCCAGACAGCCAGGAUGUUGGCUUAGAAGCAGCCAUCAUUUAAAGAAAGCGUAAUAGCUCACUGGUCGAGUCGGCCUGCGCGGAAGAUGUAACGGGGCUAAACCAUGCACCGAAGCUGCGGCAGCGACACUGUGUGUUGUUGGGUAGGGGAGCGUUCUGUAAGCCUGUGAAGGUGUGCUGUGAGGCAUGCUGGAGGUAUCAGAAGUGCGAAUGCUGACAUAAGUAACGAUAAAGCGGGUGAAAAGCCCGCUCGCCGGAAGACCAAGGGUUCCUGUCCAACGUUAAUCGGGGCAGGGUGAGUCGACCCCUAAGGCGAGGCCGAAAGGCGUAGUCGAUGGGAAACGGGUUAAUAUUCCCGUACUUGGUGUUACUGCGAAGGGGGGACGGAGAAGGCUAUGUUGGCCGGGCGACGGUUGUCCCGGUUUAAGCGUGUAGGUGUGUGUUCCAGGUAAAUCCGGUUCACUUUAACACUGAGGCGUGAUGACGAGGCACUACGGUGCUGAAGCAACAAAUGCCCUGCUUCCAGGAAAAGCCUCUAAGCAUCAGGUAACAUCAAAUCGUACCCCAAACCGACACAGGUGGUCAGGUAGAGAAUACCAAGGCGCUUGAGAGAACUCGGGUGAAGGAACUAGGCAAAAUGGUGCCGUAACUUCGGGAGAAGGCACGCUGACACGUAGGUGAAGUGAUUUACUCACGGAGCUGAAGUCAGUCGAAGAUACCAGCUGGCUGCAACUGUUUAUUAAAAACACAGCACUGUGCAAACACGAAAGUGGACGUAUACGGUGUGACGCCUGCCCGGUGCCGGAAGGUUAAUUGAUGGGGUCAGCGCAAGCGAAGCUCCUGAUCGAAGCCCCGGUAAACGGCGGCCGUAACUAUAACGGUCCUAAGGUAGCGAAAUUCCUUGUCGGGUAAGUUCCGACCUGCACGAAUGGCGUAAUGAUGGCCAGGCUGUCUCCACCCGAGACUCAGUGAAAUUGAACUCGCUGUGAAGAUGCAGUGUACCCGCGGCAAGACGGAAAGACCCCGUGAACCUUUACUAUAGCUUGACACUGAACAUUGAGCCUUGAUGUGUAGGAUAGGUGGGAGGCUUUGAAGCGUGGACGCCAGUCUGCGUGGAGCCGACCUUGAAAUACCACCCUUUAA
rnacentral:rRNA from 1 species